AGUUAAAGACCAGCCUGGCCAACAUGGCGAAACCUCAUUUCUACUCAAAAUAGAAAAAUUAGCUGGGCAUGGUGGCGGGCACCUGUAAUCCCAGCUACUCAGGAGGCUGAAGUUUUAGGCUUCUGGAACCCAGGUGGAAUGCCCAAACCUGGGCUUGGAGAUGGUGCCUAUAACCCUCUGUAUUCUGAUAGGGACCUGUCCUCUAGUCCAGUCUAGAAGAGGAGGGAGGUGAUUCAAAUGGGAAAAUCAAAAGAGUUUAGAGCUUUUAUUUUAUUUUUUAUUUUUUGUAGAGAUGGGGGUUUUGCCAUGUUAGCCAGACUGGUUUUGAACUCCUGAGCUCAGGCAGUCCACCCGCCUUGGCCUCCCAAAGUGUUGGGAUUACAGGCGUGAGCCACUGCACCCAGCCUGGUUUAGAGCUUUUAAGUUAGAAAAUAGAAUGAUGAGAAGAUGGGUUCUAGAUUGAUUAAUU
rnacentral:lncRNA from 1 species